UACGUAGGGGGCAAGCGUUGUCCGGAAUUAUUGGGCGUAAAGAGCGCGUAGGCGGUCCGAUAAGUCGGCUGUGAAAGUCCAGGGCUCAACCCUGGAAAGCCGGCCGAUACUGUCGGACUAGAGUCCGGAAGAGGCGAGUGGAAUUCCCGGUGUAGCGGAGAAAUGCGCAGAUAUCGGGAGGAACACCAAUGGCGAAGGCAGCUCGCUGGGACGUUACUGACACUGAGGCGCGAAAGCGUGGGGAGCGAACAGG
rnacentral:rRNA from 1 species